rnacentral:rRNA from 1 species
CGGACGGGUGAGUAACGCGUGAGAAUCUACCUUCAGGUUCGGGACAACCACUGGAAACGGUGGCUAAUACCGGAUGUGCCGAGAGGUGAAAGGCUUGCUGCCUGAAGAAGAGCUUGCGUCUGAUUAGCUAGUAGGUGUGGUAAAGGCGCACCUAGGCGACGAUCAGUAGCUGGUCUGAGAGGAUGAUCAGCCACACUGGGACUGAGACACGGCCCAGACUCCUACGGGAGGCAGCAGUGGGGAAUUUUCCGCAAUGGGCGAAAGCCUGACGGAGCAAUACCGCGUGAGGGAGGAAGGCUCUUGGGUUGUAAACCUCUUUUCUCAGGGAAGAAAAAAAUGACGGUACCUGAGGAAUAAGCAUCGGCUAACUCCGUGCCAGCAGCCGCGGUAAUACGGAGGAUGCAAGCGUUAUCCGGAAUGAUGGGGCGUAAAGGGUCCGCAGGUGGCAUUGUAAGUCUGCUGUUAAAGAGUCACGCUCAACGUGAUCAAGGCGGUGGAAACUACAAAGCUAGAGUGUGGUCGGGGCAGAAGGAAUUCCUGGUGUAGCGGUGAAAUGCGUAGAUAUCAGGAAGAACACCGGUGGCGAAGGCGUCCUGCUAGGCCAAGACUGACACUGAGGGACGAAAGCUAGGGGAGCGAAUGGGAUUAGAUACCCCAGUAGUC